rnacentral:rRNA from 1 species
GACAGAGGGUGCAAACGUUGUUCGGAAUUACUGGGCGUAAAGCGCGUGUAGGCGGUUAUCCAAGUCGGGUGUGAAAGCCUUGAGCUCAACUCAAGAAAUGCACUCGGUACUGGGUGACUAGAGGACCGGAGAGGAUAGUGGAAUUCCCAGUGUAGUGGUGAAAUACGUAGAGAUUGGGAAGAACACCAGUGGCGAAGGCGGCUAUCUGGACGGUUUCUGACGCUAAGACGCGAAAGCGUGGGGAACAAACAGG